GAUAUAGAUAUAAACGCUACCGAGAAUUUGGCGAUGAAGCCAUUUCAAAAAGGAGUGCUUACAGACACAGAAAUAUAAUAUCGCCGUCUCGCAAUCACGUAGAGAAAACACGGCAAUUUUCAUCUAUUGGAUCUGAAUCAAUAAAUGAUAUAAUCGAUCAAAAUCAAUCAAAUACAGAAGUAGAAGACUGCGAUCAGAUUACUACUUUCACUGAAUAUGAGAAUGAUUUGCAAGAAUAUCUUCAUCGGAUACUACUCGAAGAUAAGAUUACAGAUUCUUCUCCAGCACCUAAGAAUCCCAAAA